CAGGGCUGCGUCUGGCCCCAGCUAAGCCCGAGUCAAAGCCGGGCCAACACCGCGUUUAAAGCCCCGUGCGGGGGCAGGAGCUGCAGGAUGCCCAACCCGGCACUCGCCCCGGCUCCCGGGAGCCUGGGAAGGGCCGUGGGAGCUCCCGGGGAACCCGGGGGCUGCUGCCAGCAGAGCUAACGCGGUGCCCUGUCCCCAGCUGCGCCCCCUGUUCCUCCUGGCCCUGGCAGAUUUCCUGGGUGCCACCGCGCUGCUGGGCACGGGAACCAUCGCGCUGCUGCCGGCCCCGCUCUCCGUGCCCGCCUACGCCGCCUGUCCCUACGGGCGGAUGCUGACCACGACCGCCUACGCCGUCUCGUUCCUCAUGGUCCUGGUUUACGCCUACGAGUCGCACCGCACCGUCCUCGGGGGGCGAGCCCGGCCCCCGGCAGCGCUGCAGGAGCGGAGCCGCUGCCUGGAGAGCGCCUGGCAGGGAAUUCCCUACGUGCUGGCCUGG